GGGGUGCAGCAGGCGCGAAACCUUAGCAAUGUGCGAAAGCACGACUGGGUCAGUCCGAGUGAUUCCUGAUAAAGGAGUCUUUUGCUUGUCCUAAAAGCACAGGUGAAUAAGGGGUGGGCAAGUCUGGUGUCAGCCGCCGCGGUAAUACCAGCACCUCGAGUGGUCAGGACGUUUAUUGGGCCUAAAGCAUCCGUAGCCGGCUCUGCAAGUCUUCGGUUAAAUUCACCUGCUCAACAGAUGGGCUGCCGGAGAUACUACAGAGCUAGGGAGUGGGAGAGGCAGACGGUAUUCAGUGGGUAGGGGUAAAAUCCUCUGAUCCAUUGAGGACCACCAGUGGCGAAGGCGGUCUGCCAGAACACGUUCGACGGUGAGGGAUGAAAGCUGGGGGAGCAAACCGGAUUAGAUACCCGGGUAGUCCCAGCUGUAAACGAUGCAAACUCGGUGAUGCAUUGGCUUAUGGCCAAUGCAGUGCCGCAGGGAAGCCGUUAAGUUUGCCGCCUGGGAAGUACGGACGCAAGUCUGAAACUUAAAGGAAUCGGCGGGGGAGCACAAGGGCGAUUCGCG
rnacentral:rRNA from 1 species